CGUGAUUUCACCUCCUCUCGUAGUGAGGCCAUCAGCUUCUCUGUAGUGGUGUCCCUGUCACAGCCCAUCAUCUCUGUGAGUGCCCCAGAGGGAGAGCUGGUCUUGGGGCCCAACGGCCCAGAGGUCCCCUGGGGCCAAAGCUUCUCCAUCGUCUGCUCCACCAAGCCGCAGUACCAAGGAGGCUCUUUCCACCUCACCUCUGAUGGGUCAGCGGAGAUCUGGACUUAGCAGGCGGUCAAUCACUCUGCCUCUUUCGACUUUCCUGAAGCAGACUUUUUUCAUGCAGGGAACUACAGCUGCUCCUAUGAGGUCACUCUGUCUGCACGUCUGUUCACCUCUGGAAAAACAGAUGUGCUUUGUGUGAUCAUAAGAGCACUGACGUGGAUGGAGUGGUCUCACCAUAUAGCAUCUGUACAUCCCUCUGUGGUCUAUGGGGCAGCACUUGGGCUGUUGCUCCUUGUGAUAGUCCUGUGCUCAGUGUUGCUGUGGAAGAAAAACACGACACAGCAUGUAUAUGUGAUCAAUGACGAAUACUGGCCGAUGACGUCAUUUGAAGUACCAAAGCCAACAGAGCCAGUGAAGGCAGAGCAGAUACCAUCUCAGCUGGAGGAAGAAGUUGAAUUUGCAUCUUAAGCAGACCUCAGUAUAUAUGUGAGGGUAACGAUCUGCUUUUGCUUCACUGAUUUGUUGUGAUUGCGCCCCACCUGUCUGGUGCUGUGUUUUUAUUCAUGUUAAAAGUUAGUGUGUUUUGUAAUGCAUCCAUCCUGAUAACGUUCCCUUGGUCUUUGGAGUUAAAAUAGCCCCACAUCAUCACAUACCCUUCACCAUACCUAGAAAUGGGCAUAGUUUAAUUAUAUUUAUUUAUAUUAGCCUAGCUGGUUUAAUUUGCAUUGAGAGGUUAUCUUGUGGAAAGUACCCCAUGCCAACCUCUGAGGGUAUGUGAUGAUGUGGGGCUAUUUUAAUUCCCAAGGCCUAGGGAACUUUAUCAGGAUGCAUAGUAUCCUGGAUCCAUGAAAUGAACUGGUCUUUGAAAAUAUAAAUCUCCCUACCUCUAAGGGAAUUUAACAUACUGUAAGGGGUGUACCGUAUACUUACUGUAUGUCUCCUGUAUUUUAAGGAGGGACAUUUAUUUCUUUACAAUACAUUAUUCAUUCACAAAGAAAAUUGGCAUCUUUAAAGGUUGGAUUUUUCCUCAUUUAUUUAAUAAAGGCAAUAAGACGAUUUUUUAUUCCUCUUUUAAUCAACUUUAGCAUGGUCAACUUGUGUGCACAACUAU